rnacentral:rRNA from 1 species
UGCAGUCGAACGAUGAAGCCUUUCGGGGUGGAUUAGUGGCGAACGGGUGAGUAACACGUGGGCAAUCUGCCCUUCACUCUGGGACAAGCCCUGGAAACGGGGUCUAAUACCGGAUAACACUCUGUCCUGCAUGGGACGGGGUUAAAAGCUCCGGCGGUGAAGGAUGAGCCCGCGGCCUAUCAGCUUGUUGGUGGGGUAAUGGCCUACCAAGGCGACGACGGGUAGCCGGCCUGAGAGGGCGACCGGCCACACUGGGACUGAGACACGGCCCAGACUCCUACGGGAGGCAGCAGUGGGGAAUAUUGCACAAUGGGCGAAAGCCUGAUGCAGCGACGCCGCGUGAGGGAUGACGGCCUUCGGGUUGUAAACCUCUUUCAGCAGGGAAGAAGCGAAAGUGACGGUACCUGCAGAAGAAGCGCCGGCUAACUACGUGCCAGCAGCCGCGGUAAUACGUAGGGCGCAAGCGUUGUCCGGAAUUAUUGGGCGUAAAGAGCUCGUAGGCGGCUUGUCACGUCGGAUGUGAAAGCCCGGGGCUUAACCCCGGGUCUGCAUUCGAUACGGGCUAGCUAGAGUGUGGUAGGGGAGAUCGGAAUUCCUGGUGUAGCGGUGAAAUGCGCAGAUAUCANGAGGAACACCGGUGGCGAAGGCGGAUCUCUGGGGCAUUACUGACGCUGAGGAGCGAAAGCGUGGGGAGCGAACAGGAUUAGAUACCCUGGUAG